ensembl:lncRNA
AUGUACAACCUGAGUUUCUCAUCAGUGGCUAGAAUUGAAGAAUCUACUCAGAUGAGCAGCAAAACAUCUUCUGGAUCACCCUUUAAAGUCCUGAGGAACAGAUACUGGGAGAUACUUUUAUAUUUCAUUCCCACAAACAAGAACAUGGACAAACAGAACAAGAGCAGACAGAGAGAAGAAGUUGGUUUUGUGCCAGUGAUAACUUCACGGAUCCAGUCCUGGUACCAGGACACACGGCGGAAGACUCCAGGAUCUCCACAGGAAGCUGAGGUAGAAAUUGCAACUCCAGCAAGGAUCCAUUGAGACUGCUCUCUAAUAACAAGUGGGGAUCCAGGAAUGACCUGUGAGGAAAAAAAGAUUAGAAGUAAUAUUAGUGCAAGGAAAAGCUUAUUUCUUUAUUUUGUUUUUUUAUUAUUAUUUCGCAGUCCUGAUCAUUGGAUGAUGGGAUUUUUGCUGAUAUUCUAUCUGCUUUUUUUAUGUUUUUUUUUAACUUUCUCCCAGCCCUGGUCCUCGGGGCACACUGCCCAGCAUGUUGAGCACACAGCUGAUUCAGCACAUCAUCAAGCUCUGCAGAAGAAUGAUAAUGGCGGCCAUCAAAGGCAAGUGUGCCUGAGCAGGGAAUGACAUUCAUUUAAAGUAAAAGUAAAAUGUGUAUUUAAGUAAAAUCACACUUAAAAAAUGAUGGCUUAUUGAGUCAUUAAGACACAAUGUAAACCUUUGAUGUAAAAUUACAACAAAACAUUGACAAAAAUAACAGUAUUCUACUGUUGUCCUUUUGUAAAUUAUUAGGCUUUACACCGCAAUACCAUCUGGGAGAAAUGUUUAUAGUAUUCUGCUGUCUUUGUGUUGUACAGUACUAUACUGUGAACAGCAGUGCAAACUGGGAGGAAAUCUGACAGUAUUCCAUUGUUUUUAUGUUGCAUAAUGCCAUACUGUAAAUUGCAACACAAUGUGGGAAAAGGAAAAAUCCUGUGAUGUACAGAAAGUGUACAAUUUGAUUCAAAAAUCAGCUGCUCAGGAACAUUUGAAACGUUUUAUUUGUCUCCCAGUCAGUUUGCAUCAGUUUGGCAGCUAAAAGUUUUAUUUUGUUGGUUUCUUUUCCCUGGAAAUGGGAUAAUGCAUUAUGGGAGUCUGCAAGCAUUUUAAUUGCGUCCGAGGCUAAAUCUAGUUGUUGUUUUAAGGGGUAUUUGUUGUUUUAUGGAGUAUUUUAAGGGGUAAUUGUAAAAACAGAAAUGGUUACUCAAGUGGCAAAGCAAAGUGAUUAUUUAAAGUGCGGCUAAUAAGCCACAUAGCUUCAGCUUUCAAAAUAAGUGCGGCCAAGAAAAAAGUUUAACACUGGCUGCAAAUAAUUUAGAAAUUACGUCCAAAUAGUCACAUCCUUAUAUAUAUUUUUUAAAGGUUUCCAAUUCAUUUGAUCCAUUAUAUCUUUAUUUUCCUUCAGAUCAUGGUUAUGGGCAAAAGCACUAUUCGAAAAUAAUCCAAUUAUCUUUACUAUGAUGUAUGACACACUGAAAUUGUCUUACUUUUGCUCUGUUUUCAGUGUGAACACGAAAAUUUAAGCAACUUAACUGGGGAGAAAAAAUCUGUUGCAGCUCUACAUCUUUACCCAUUGUGGAAAACCUUCGUUAGCAUACAUUAUGAGAAUUAAAGUCUUAAUUACAAUCAUUAUCGAACAAGUAGCAUUCAAUGAAGUGCUUGGAACCUUUGCCUAACUUUGACAGAGUUGUAAGAGAGAAAUGAUCUACGACUUGUUUAAUAUCCAUACAAAUUUUGGAAAGCAGCUGUGCAGUCAGGAUUACUUAAAUUUGUAUUUUGAUUAGUAAAUGAUCUAAGAGAGGAAAAAAUACAGUCAGAUAGUACCGGUACAUUUAUAAAACAAAUAUUAUGCAAUUCUCUGUUACUAUUCAUAAGGUUACCUUGUGUUAAUUAAGUCAAAUGGUGUUAAACAGCAUUCAGUAGUUAGCUUUGCUGGUCUUUACCUGUCAAGUAACACCCUUUUGUCUGAUCUCACAUGAAAAGAAUUAAACGUGAUUUUACAGUGAUCCAUUGUAGUACAAAUACAGUAUUAAACUGGCAAAACUGCUGCCUGUAAAAUACUGUACAUUUACAGUUUAGCUUGUAAAACAAUAAAAAUAAAACAACAUUAGAUGGUUACCUGACAUGGAUAGGAUCCUCCUAUUGUGGCACGCAUCUCUUUCUCUGGGACAUUACUUUGGUUCUGUUUACAGCUGCCCAGUAUUGAUGCUUUAGCCUCCCUUUGCGUGCUGAUAUUUAGCUUUUCACCUAUUAAAGAAAGAGUUUAAAGCUUAAAAAGCUGCAGGUACAGGUGCGCACAUUUAACAGGGUCGGCUGUGACAGCUGCUCAGUGCUUGGAAAAAAAAUCUGCAGCUCUGUUGGUUUCUUAUUAUCUCUAUAUCAGAGUUUGUAACAGCCUGAAACUUGUGAACUGACAUCCCUGCUGCUGCGCGCUCCCGUCCCCUGUCACACGCGGCUCACGUGUGUGAGAGAAUGAAAGGGGAGGGGGUAAUAGGCUCCGUGUACGUAACUAAGGAGUUCUACUUCCGCCGCCUUGAGUGUGAGGCCGACCAUUUCCAGCUUGCGACUUCUAUAUCAGCGACACGGCAGAUUUCGAUUGCGAAAGAUGGCAUAUUUCACCCGUUGUCUACAAGGUCUCCCGAAAAUCGACGUGAACGACAUCGACAGGAUUGUCGAACAGUGCGUGGUUACAUAGGCAAAUUAUUGUGUCGAAAAAAUAUAGUGUCGAAAAUACCGGAAGGGAAAUGUGUCCCGUUGUAACAAACCUUUGCUGUCACAUAUAUUUAUGCAGCAGCUCGGUAAUAUACGAGGCGAUCUUCCAAAAGUUCUUUUAUUAAUCUUAUGAAUAUUAUGAAGUGCCUGUUCACUCAUCAUUUUAUAUUUAAUCUGUGUGGUCAGUCCGUUUUUUGUGGAAGAACUAGUACGGAGCUGAAAGAAGAACCCAGGAGAGGCUAACAACAUGGGCUAACAACAUUAGCCUUUUGAUGGACACAAAAUAAAUCCAGGACCAUGUGGGAAACGCUGCAAUCUGCAGUUUGGCUGCACGUAAAUGUGUGGGAAUAACAUCAGCCUUUAUUUUGUCGGGGGACAGCUGGAAACACAAUUCCAUGUGAUUUUUUGAACAGUUUCUAAGGACUGAGCGGCAUUUCUGCUCUGAAAAGCUCACACACACUGUGAGCUCUGCUCGGUUCUCGUGAGUCCUGCAGCCGUAACCCAUAGCGGCGGUUCGGCUCGCAGUCCGAAUCCUCACACGUAAAACAACAAAACGCACAUGUAACAAAGCACCCUCCCCCCAAACACAUUAAAAAAUCCAGCUGCUCUGCUCAGAGAGGUUCACUCAGUCCACUGGCACCGGAGCCCGAAUGCAGAGCUCGGGUCCAGACGUCGGUGGGA